rnacentral:rRNA from 1 species
CGAUGCGAACUGGAUGUUGGGUGCAACUAGGCACUCAGUAUCGAAGCUAACGCGUUAAGUUCGCCGCCUGGGGAGUACGGUCGCAAGACUGAAACUCAAAGGAAUUGACGGGGGCCCGCACAAGCGGUGGAGUAUGUGGUUUAAUUCGAUGCAACGCGAAGAACCUUACCUGGCCUUGACAUCCACGGAACUUUCCAGAGAUGGAUUGGUGCCUUCGGGAACCGUGAGACAGGUGCUGCAUGGCUGUCGUCAGCUCGUGUCGUGAGAUGUUGGGUUAAGUCCCGCAACGAGCGCAACCCUUGUCCCUAGUUGCCAGCACGUAAUGGUGGGAACUCUAGGGAGACCGCCGGUGACAAACCGGAGGAAGGUGGGGAUGACGUCAAGUCAGCAUGGCCUUUAUAUCUAGGGCGACACACACGCUACAAUGGCGCGUACAAUGGGCGGCGAGUGGGCGACCACAAGCAAAUCUCUCAAAGCGCGUCUUAGUUCGGAUUGGAGUCUGCAACUCGACUCCAUGAAGGCGGAGUUGCUAGUAACCGCGCGUCAGCCAUAGUGCGGUGAAUGCGUUCCCGGGUCUUGUACACACCGCCCGUCACGUCAUGGAAGCCGGUAAUACCUGAAGUCGGAUAAGGAACCGCAAGGACCUGUCUGCCGAGGGUAGGACUGGUGACUGGGACG